GGGGAGCCGUGGUUCACUCCGCACUGACCUCGCCGCCGCCUGUUCCGGGGAAGAGUUAAGAUCUAGCAGUCGCGGCCGCUUCUGGUUCGCUUGGUGCAGGUCGGGAACGCGUCGCCGUCUGCCGGCGGGCGAGCUGCUUCCCGCCUUGCAUCAACUGAAUCGGAAGCGAGAGCGACGAUCUCCGUUUCGUCCUGGUUCUUCCCCCGCUGAUCUCGAUGACUGGAGCAUAGAGAGGAUUUGAAAUAGGUCUGUAGACGCUAAAUGAGGCUUCGCAGUCCUGUUCUCUGGGACACACCAUAUGGGAAGCAAGCAUCUAAUCUGGAGCAAUCAGAUGGCCACAGUGGUCCGGAGUGCAAUCUGAGACUUCGCCUCCAAUGCCUCAACUAGAAGCUCAUCCCUUCAAUUCAUUUGAGAGAUUAUGAAAGCCAUUCACAGCUAGCUAAAGGUUAAUCAGCUUUAGCUGAUGGGUCGUGAUGCAAGGUACUUGAAAUUUCGCUUCUGGUUAGACUUGAUGAUUUAAAACUCCUAGAGGACCCAAGCCUUCUUGCAUGAUAACCUAUUUUUCACAGGCACAAUGCCAUAUGAGAUCUUCAUCAUGCGUACCAUCGUUAACACAACACUAGAUAUAUAAGAAUGGGAGGGACUGUCUUUUUAAUACAACACUACGUAUAUAAAAAAAAGAAAGGGAAAGGAAGCAGCAUGGAAUGCGAAUGUGAUUAUUUACCCUUUUUCCUUAUUGUCUAAAACAGUAGAUUUGCCAUAAUAAUAGUUCAGCUGAGCGCUUGGUAUGAAUGAUUCUACGAACAUGAAGGUCCCUUGGAGUUUUUAGGACAAUAAUGUAGUAAUCAUGCACAGGACAGGUACCAUUAACUCUUCAACCAAGCCAAUGUUGGAACUUCUCCAUCACUCCCUGUGCUUCUCAGGGCUGAACAGUAUGUUCUGGAUUAAUGUGCAGCUUUAUCUUGCCAGCCUAAUAUCUUCAUUCAAUAUUUCAAAUGUAAGAUUUAUUUUGUUAUCAAAA